rnacentral:tRNA from 1 species
GGAAGGGUGGCUGAGUUGGUCGAAGGCACCUGACUCGAAAUCAGGCGUACGGGUAACUGUACCGUGGGUUCGAAUCCCACCCCUUCCGCCA